UACGUAGGGGGCGAGCGUUGUCCGGAUUUACUGGGCGUAAAGCGCGUGUAGGUGGCGGCUUAAGUGGGGUGUGAAAGCCCGGGGCUCAACUCCGGAGCGCCGCUCCAAACUGGGUCGCUUGAGGACGGAAGAGGGGAGUGGAAUUCCUGGUGUAGCGGUGAAAUGCGUAGAGAUCAGGAGGAACACCCGUGGCGAAGGCGGCUCCCUGGUCCGUCCCUGACGCUGAGACGCGAAAGCGUGGGGAGCAAACGGG
rnacentral:rRNA from 1 species